rnacentral:rRNA from 1 species
GCAAGGAAUAUUGUGCAAUGGGCGAAAGCCUGACACAGCGACGCCGCGUGAGGGAAGAAGGCCUUCGGGUCGUAAACCUCUUUUCCUGGGGAAGAAUAAUGACGGUACCCGGGGAAUAAGUCACGGCUAACUACGUGCCAGCAGCCGCGGUAAUACGUAGGUGGCAAGCGUUAUCCGGAUUUACUGGGCGUAAAGAGGGUGUAGGUGGCCCUUCAAGUCGGAUGUAAAAUCUCUCGGCUUAACUGAGAGGGACCAUCCGAUACUGUCGGGCUGGAGUGCAGCAGAGGAAAGCGGAAUUCCCGGUGUAGUGGUGAAAUGCGUAGAUAUCGGGAGGAACACCAGUGGCGAAGGCGGCUUUCUGGGCUGUAACUGACGCUGUGGCCCGUAAGCGUGGGGAGCAAACAGGAUCAGAAACCCCAGUAGUCC